UACGGAGGGUGCGAGCGUUGUCCGGAAUCACUGGGCGUAAAGGGCGCGUAGGCGGUCUGUUAAGCGUGCGGUGAAAGCCCGGGGCUCAACCCCGGGUCUGCCGUGCGAACUGGUGGACUUGAGCACUGUAGAGGCAGGUGGAAUUCCGGGUGUAGCGGUGGAAUGCGUAGAGAUCCGGAAGAACACCGGUGGCGAAGGCGGCCUGCUGGGCAGUUGCUGACGCUGAGGCGCGACAGCGUGGGGAGCAAACAGG
rnacentral:rRNA from 1 species